GACUGAGACACACAACACCACCAAAAGAGGCACUGAAAUACAGCUGGCCCACAUUAGAGCAACACAGAGUAGAGCAGGACAGAGAGUAGAAGUGACUGGUCUUUUGAAGUCAGACUCCAGCGUUGAUCUGGGAAACAGGCUUCUGUCUGGAAUUGAAUGAUUUGAAGGGUGGGAUUUUAGCAGUAGAGGAUAUGUUUUCAUUGGAAGAAGACCUUGGAAGAAGAGCACCUGGCAACUCCAGAUUUUAAUUUCACAUCAAACAGACUUGGAUUACGAGGAGUGCUCACACAACUCCGAGGCUAAAUUGUCCGAGGCUAAAUUACAUCACAUGGAUGGUAACAGAGAGAGCUAGUACAGAACAGAAAACAGUACAGCAAAUUUCUCCCACCCAAAAAACUGCUGGGUUCCUGAGAUAGAAGAAAGGAAGGGAGAAGAGUACAAUAGGCUGCUCCCUCUUCCUGAGGAAGCGGCUCCAUUACUAACAGAUUUUGCUGGGUGACAGUAUAGGAUCCCAUUCGGUACCAUGGGUGUGUACGCUUUGGCCGGGACUCUGCUGCUGCUGCUGCUCUCUCACUCGUGUGUCCCCCAUGGCUGCUCCCCUGCCCCCACAAACUGCCCCGACAUGGGAAUUAGGCUACGCUCUUUCAGGCUGGACUCUAACUGCAACUACACCACCCUGAUAGAGAAGCAUAUCAAGGACGUGCAGGCUCCGGCAAUUGUCCUCUAUGUGCCUAUUAUCUACCUGGUCGCCUUCACCGUGGGCCUCCCUGCCAACCUCCUGGCCCUGUGGGUCCUCCUGUUCCGCACCAAAAAGCUGCCCUCCACCACCCUACUCAUCAACCUCACCGCCACGGACCUCAUGCUCCUGAUGGUGCUCCCCUUCCGCAUCGUCUACCACUUCCAGGGCAACGACUGGGUCUUCGGUGAGUCCUUCUGCCGGAUAGUCAUCGCUCUCUUCUAUGGCAACGUGUAUGGCUCGGUGCUGUGCCUGAUGUUCAUCGCCGUGGACCGCUAUGUGGCACUGGUCCACCCGUUUGGCGCUCAAGCCUUCCGCAGCCCUCGCACCUCCCUGUACAUGACUCUCGCCGUGUGGCUGGUGGUUCUGGUCGCAAUGGCGCCUCUCCUCUCCUCCCGCCAGUCUUACAAGCUACUAAGGCCGGAUAUCACCACGUGUCACGACGCACUGCCCCAGGAAGCGCACGUGACCUACUUACUGCCGUACUUCCUCACCCUCUUCUUUGUCUGCUUCAUGCUGCCCCUGGUGGUCAUCCUGUUCUGCCACGGCUCGGUGAUACGCGUCCUGGCGGCGGAGGACGGGCGCUACAGCCACGCGCUGCGUAUCACUGCGCUGGUCCUCCUGGUGUUUGUGGUCUGCCUGCUGCCCAGCAACAUUCUCCUCCUCCUGCACUACUCUGACUCCCACCUGGUGCUGGACGGGGAGGACCUGUACACUCCAUACAUGGUCAGCCUCGCUGUUAGCACGCUAAACAGCAGCAUAGACCCCUUCAUAUUCUACUACGUCUCCGAAGACUUCCGGGACAGGGUCAGGGCGGUGCUCUGCUGCCGCGGAGGCCUUGGGAGCGACUCAUCUUCGGGGAACCAGGCGUCCUAUUCGUCUUCGAAGGGGACAGAAGGGUCAAAGGUGACAUUGUUGGUCAAGUCUAGCCUGAACCCAGGGACAUCAGAGGGAGAGGUGCCAUGAGGCUGCCGGGCAACGUGGAUCAGUUGAAGUUUCACUGCUGUGUGGAGGCAAUGCUUUUCUCUGGUUUAUAUAUUGUCUAUCCAUUGUAUAUGUAUGUAGUACAAACAAUGUGUGUGUGUGUGUGUGGGGAUGGGGGGGGUGGUGGGUUGUUUCUCACAAAUGAUAUUUCCAUAAGCAUGGUGUGAAGGAAGGGAGUUGGGUAAUGAAGAGUUUAGAAAUCAUGAUCUCAGGGUGCGACAGUUAGUAUCAUGGCAGGAGUAUAGAUUGCACUUGACUUACCUACAGAUACUGACAAAACCAGCUAAAAGAGCGAAGAGGCAACAUUAAUACACAGACAUUAUUAUUAUUUUUGGUUGCUUUUUUAAAUCAUAUCAAUCGAGGAUGAUGGGUACGCCAUUGAUAAAAAAAUGUAAAUUGCUGCUGUAUUGCUGAACUGCUUAUACAGUAGAUAUGUGGUCACCAAUGGCAUAUAACAAUAGCAUUGCCACCAUUUCUUUCAACUUAGAUGUGUUAGCCAAAUAUAGGCAUGUCCAUUUGGAAGCGGGGAGGUACCUAGAACGCUGUGCCUGCUUCUGUCCAGAAUACAGUUUCCAUGUUUUGGAAAUGUCUAUCGCAAAUAUAACUCAUUGUGUUUAGUGUAGAAAAUGCAGUGCAAAUAAGAUGAUCAAGAUGCGGGUUUGUUAGAUUAUGUAUCCUUCUUUGAGCUACUAAACACACCAGGAAAUUGUAUUGAGAUGGCUAACAUGUUGUCUGUAUGUUGCUAACAUGUUAACUAGCUAGAUCGGUCAACUUUGCAAGGCUAGAAAGGAGCACUAAUAAACCACAAAUAUUAUCAACCCAAAAGUGGAAUCAAUAAAUAGACAAUUCUCUGGCAACAGGUUCACAGGGGAAUCACUUGACCAGUCAUACAAGAACACCUGCUCACACCUCCAGAAUGUAAAUACUCUAAAUUAUCGCUGCUGUCUAAAUGCAUCAAAAUUGCGUACCACUUAUUCAACAGGCAAUUCAUCCGGGCAACAACACCAAAGUGUAUGUAUGCACAAAGGGAAUUAUUUUAAUUUAACACCAAGCAGACAAAACGCUUGACUGUUUAAUCAUGUGUCUACAAGCAAUGUCUCAGACGCCUUCUUUUUGCCAAUUUUCUCCGGUGAUAAGGCAUAUCUCAUCCUAACAGUUGUAGGGGGUGGGAGUGGGGACCAGGGGGAAAUGGAUGAGUGACAACCAUGGCAGUUGGAUGGGUCUAAACCGGAAUUAUAACGAUCGUCUCCACUGGGAUUGACUAGAUUUUCAGGUGGGACUACCCCUGUUGACAUGGAUCUGGAUGAAAUAACUAAUGAAUUGUGAACAAUCAAUGUAAGAUACAUAGACAAGGCUGGUUAUACUUCAUCUAUCAACAUGUCGACUAAUAGCAGAGCUACACUACAAAUAGACAUACCCACUGCACCAGUGACUGGAGCUCUGAUCGCUCUCCUGGCCACUGUCACUGCCACCAUGUGGUUAUACCGACAAACAACAAUAAAGAGGAGGAGCACGGCCAAGCAGACCAAUGACAAAGAAGAGGACAGCCCAAAGCUUCAAUCAAUGGACAACCCCAAAUCCUCCCCCCAGGGAAUCUCCAAGCACGAUUCCAUGGCGACACGACUGUUCCAGGCUUCUGAAGCUCCCCAGUACAACAACUCGGUUCAACUUCGUCACAGCCACCCUUAAUAAUAUAGUUUAGGAAAAUUCUUUAAGUUGCCAGGCUUACAUUUCAUUUCCUAUAUUGUAAACUGAUUGGUUUAUUGCUGUUGAAAUAGAGCAAUUUUACUUUAUUGGAGCACCAAGCUUCUGAUGUCACGCAGAGACAAUAAUCUACCGUGUUUGUGUGCAUGUUUUUGAUAUGGGACGAAAUGUUCAUAAUGUCACAUUGCAAGUUGGUCACUGAAGUUAACUACCAACAUGUAGCUGGAUGUUUCGUAAAGGCACUUUGUGACGUCUGCUGAUGUGAAAAGGGCUUUAUAAACACCUUUGAUUUGUUGAUGUAGCCUUGACACUUGUUCUGCUUGUGUCAAGAUGGUGAAAGAGACAGUGAUGAAGAGGAGAUGAAUGACGAUGAAAUGGACAUGAGCACUGUCACUUAGAAACGUUACAUGACCUACAGGUUUCUCAUGUUGCAGGUGUAAUGUUAUUUUGUGUAGAAAAUGAACAUUUUAUAAAAAUACAUUAUGUUAAAUGACACCAUAGCCUAUAUUACAACUGUUCUUCUUGAAGGGGAAUAUGGAAAAUGUGCCAAAAUUCAUGAAUGCCUUUUAAUCAUUGCUAGACUGUCUGUCUCAAUGUGUAGCUCCUUCACUCAGGUUAACUUAAUUAUAGAGUAGAUUUUAAUAGAAUAAAAAAGGACAGUAUUUCUGUCAAACAAAGGGAAUUAGUUUGUCCACCUAUUAAUGGAAACGGUUUUUCCAAAAAUAACUAUACUUGUACUGGCUGCUGCAGGACUUGAACCAAAAACAUUUGGCAGUAAAAAACCCAGCUCUACACAGUGCCCUACCAGAGACCGGCCUAAGACGCAAGCAAUAUAUGGCGUCUUUAUGGAGUUCAUAGAGUGCACAGAACAUGGCAGCCACUGCCCACCGUAUUUCAUAUCCUGUCAAUAAAUAGAAAAGUUCUUACACUGUUUUAUGCCUGUUCCUCACUAAACCAUUCAACAGGAUGACUAUAUUUUAGAGUAGAUUUAAAUAGAAUAAAAAGGGUUGGUAUUUCUGUCAAACACAGGGAAUGGCUUUGCACACUUAUUAAUAGAAAGGUAUUUUCCAAAGACAACUAAAAUGAUACCGGCUGGGGCAGGAUUCGAAACAAUAACAUCUGGCAAUAAAACACGCCACUCUACUCACUGAGCUACCAGGGACAGGCCUGGACCACCACAAUAUAUGGCGUCUUUAUUGAGUUCAUUUGGGGCACAGAACCUGGCAGCCACUGCCCACCAUUUUCCAUGUCCCCUGACAAUUAAAUGUGUUUAUUUUGUUCAGAAAAGGUUUUUACACGUUUCUCUCUUCCUCCCCAACACAUUCAACCAUGUGAUUCACUUACAAAGUUAAUUUAAAUAGAAUUAAAAGGGACAAACACAAGGUACGACUCUGCCCAUCUUAUAUGGCAAAAGGACAAUUCCAAAAUUAAGUAUGCAGGUGCCAGUAGGAUUCAAAACAACAACGCCUGGCACAAAGUGCAAACUACCUUAUCUACUGAGCUACCCUGAGAGAGUUGUGUUAGGGCUCAAUAUAUGGCGACUGUAGGACAAAACAUUUAACAGAUGAACACUUACCCCAGCCACUUUUCCGGUCUCCCCAACUUCGCCCACACAUAUUUACUUAACCACUCUCUCUUCCAGGUCUUAAACAGCAUGUCCUUUACUUUACAACAAUAACCCUUUAAUUCAUCACAUUCAACAAACAUAUGCAUUAACAUUUCAGGUACACAUCCACAAACAUCACAUUCUCUUGCUACAUUGGGAUUGAUUCUACGGAGCACUACUUGUGAAUAUGUCAUAACUUGAUAUCAUUAUUUUCACACUCCAAUUUAUUUCCAGGCAAGUGCAAAUUACCCCACAAGUGUGCAGUGUUCAGCCCUGGAAACACCUUCACCCACAUCUUCUCAGCAGCAGGUCUAUCUGUAGCCAACAACAUCUUAUACAAUUGUUUUGUGCCAACACUAGGAAAUAAUUUCUUGCUGUCUCCAUGACCGAUAUAAAGAUUUGGAAACACAUACAGAUCUUCACCAUUAGUAAUUGUAACCCAGUCCUCUGGAAUUCUGCUUUUAACCCUUUCAAACCCAUUCAAUAUAGUAUCUGUACGGACCUUGUCAUUUACUUCUCUUACUGUAUCAGGUAUAGCUUGUCCUCUUAAAAGCUCAGGAAUAACUACAUUGGAGGAAGUCCAGCCUUCAAUGCCAAAUCUUUAUGAUCACAUGUAUACUGCAUAUGUGGGAGAAGGUCACCCCAUCCUUGAGUCACUUCAGCAUAGAAUAAAGGAACAGUCCCAUACAUAGUCUUUUUCCGUGCCAUGACCAGCCCACUCUCCUCGCAUCCACCAUAUUCAUAUCUGUACUGCCUAAAAAACCUUUUCCAUCCACACCAAACCAUACCAAAACCUUUUCACUAUUUUAAUCCGGAACGGUUUGCUUCUAGCCUCCAUGUCCACCAACGGAAGUCCUCCGUCUUUAUACUCAGCAGCAAGUGCCUGAGAUAUCCUCCCUCCUUUGCCAUCCCACAAGAUGUCAGAUAUAGUAAUACGCAAUUCUCUUAACGCCCAGUCAGGCAACCCUAUCACCCCCAGGACAUACACACAUUUAAAUAACAGUAACGAAUUAGUCACCACCCCUUUCAAUUUUAGUCUCCUCAACUUCCACACUCUGAACGUUUGUUUGAUUUGAUUCAAAACACCCAUCCAAGUCAUGUCGCUAGCUCCUUACUCCUCAAUACCUAGGACUACUCCAACUACUCCAAGUGUCUUAAUGUAGCUGUCUGCCUGUUUAGGUGUCUGCCUGGUUGUUAUAACCUUUCCUACCGACAACUGUUCUGUCUUUUCUACAUCAAUUUUAGCACCUGAGGCCUUUCCAAACAGCUCAAAACACUCCAUUAUAUCAUAUUAUACAUUGUGUCGUCCGCAUAUUGAUGCACCACGCUAACAGGAAUCACAAUACCCCGUAUUCAAGUAUCUGCUUUAAGAAGCGCCGCAAAUGGCUCUACUGACAAACCAUACAAUGCAGCCGACAAUGGGCAGCCCUGCCUCAGCGACAUUUCUAGGGGGAAAGCAUUCGUAAAGCAAUCUGUUACAUUUCACUCUACUAGCAGCUGAACUAUACAACGGCCUUAUCCAGGCCACCAUCCGCCUCCCGAAAACAAAUGUUUUAAGUGUCUGCACUAAAACGGUAUGCUCCACUCUAUCGAAGGCUUUGUUCAUAUCUAGGCUCAAUACUACACCCCCCCCCCCCCCACAACCAUGUGUCUCAUCACAUCUCGAACCGUACACAUAAUGUCAGCCACAUCUCUCCCUGAGACACUGUGAGCCUGUGUCUCUGCAAUAAUCCCUCCCAUGACUCUGUUGAUUCUAGUUGCUAGGACUUUGGCUAAAAUCUUGUAAUCCACAUUUAAGAGACAUAAUUGCCUAUAUUCCUCCAACUGCCAUACUCCCCUAAUUCUUAUAUGGCAUAGUAAUCAGACAUGUGGCCAGGGUCCCUGGGACUUCCUGAUACAGGUCCAUAUUUCUAUAGAGAUUGAAUAAAACAGGUGCCAGCAUAUAAAGGUUUUGUAAAAUUAACUUGUUAAACCAUCAGAGCCUGGACUUUUAUUAUUCUGUGUAGAUGAAAUUGCCUCCUGUAUCUCUGUGACUGUUAUGUCUGCAUCACACAUCCUUCUUCUGCAGAUAGCCUGGCAUCAACAUACAGUGGGGCAAAAAAGUAUUUAG